UGGUGGAGUGAUUUGUCUGGUUAAUUCCGUUAACGAACGAGACCUCGACCUGCUAAAUAGUUUGGCGAAUCUUCGGAUUCGUACAUGACUUCUUAGAGGGACUAUCGGUUUGCAGCCGGUGGAAGUUCGAGGCAAUAACA
rnacentral:rRNA from 1 species